CGUAGGCAGCGAGCGUUGUUCGGAGUUACUGGGCGUAAAGAGUGCGUAGGCGGUUUUCUAAGUUUGGUGUGAAAUCUCCCGGCUUAACUGGGAGGGUGCGCCGAAGACUGGAAGGCUUGAGUAUGGGAGAGGUAAGCGGAAUUCCUGGUGUAGCGGUGAAAUGCGUAGAUAUCAGGAGGAACACCUGCGGUGUAGACGGCUUACUGGACCAUAACUGACGCUGAGGCACGAAAGCGUGGGUAGCAAACAGGAUU
rnacentral:rRNA from 1 species